rnacentral:rRNA from 1 species
UACGGAGGUGGCAAGCGUUGCUCGGAAUCACUGGGCGUAAAGGGCGCGUAGGCGGCGCGGUAAGUCGGGUGUGAAAUCUCGGAGCUUAACUCCGAAACUGCAUUCGAUACUGCCGUGCUUGAGGACUGGAGAGGAGACUGGAAUUUACGGUGUAGCGGUGAAAUGCGUAGAUAUCGUAAGGAAGACCAGUGGCGAAGGCGGGUCUCUGGACAGUUCCUGACGCUGAGGCACGAAGGCCAGGGGAGCAAACGGG